rnacentral:tRNA from 1 species
GCGCCCGUAGCUCAGCUGGAUAGAGCGAUAGAUUGCGGUUCUAUAGGUCGGAGGUUCGACUCCUCUCGGGCGCA